rnacentral:rRNA from 1 species
UACGAAGGGGGCUAGCGUUGCUCGGAAUCACUGGGCGUAAAGGGUGCGUAGGCGGGUCUUUAAGUCAGGGGUGAAAUCCUGGAGCUCAACUCCAGAACUGCCUUUGAUACUGAAGAUCUUGAGUUCGGGAGAGGUGAGUGGAACUGCGAGUGUAGAGGUGAAAUUCGUAGAUAUUCGCAAGAACACCAGUGGCGAAGGCGGCUCGCUGGGCCGGACCUGACGCUGAGGCGCGAAGGCGUGGGGAGCGAACGGG